GACGAACGCUGGCGGCGUGCCUAAUACAUGCAAGUCGAGCGGAGUUGAUGAGGUGCUUGCACCUCUGAUGCUUAGCGGCGGACGGGUGAGUAACACGUAGGUAACCUGCCUGUAAGACUGGGAUAACUACCGGAAACGGUAGCUAAUACCGGAUAAUUUAUUUUCUCUCCUGGGGAGAUAAUGAAAGACGGAGCAAUCUGUCACUUACAGAUGGGCCUGCGGCGCAUUAGCUAGUUGGUGAGGUAACGGCUCACCAAGGCGACGAUGCGUAGCCGACCUGAGAGGGUGAACGGCCACACUGGGACUGAGACACGGCCCAGACUCCUACGGGAGGCAGCAGUAGGGAAUCUUCCGCAAUGGACGAAAGUCUGACGGAGCAACGCCGCGUGAGUGAUGAAGGUUUUCGGAUCGUAAAGCUCUGUUGCCAGGGAAGAACGUCCGGUAGAGUAACUGCUACCGGAGUGACGGUACCUGAGAAGAAAGCCCCGGCUAACUACGUGCCAGCAGCCGCCGAGUAACAC
rnacentral:rRNA from 1 species